AGAGUUUGAUCAUGGCUCAGAACGAACGCUGGCGGCAGGCCUCAAACAUGCAAGUCUAGGGGGUGUAGCAAUACACCACCGGCGGACGGGUGCGUAACACGUGGGAAUAUACCUUUCGGUACGGAACAACUGAGGGAAACUUCAGCUAAUACCGUAUACGUCCUAACGGAGAAAGAUUUAUCGCCGAAGGAUUAGCCCGCGCUCGAUUAGCUAGUUGGUGAGGUAAUGGCUCACCAAGGCAACGAUCGAUAGCUGUUCUGAGAGGAAGAUCAGCCACACUGGGACUGAGACACGGCCCAGACUCCUACGGGAGGCAGCAGUUGGGAAUCUUGGACAAUGGGGGAAACCCUGAUCCAGCCAUGCCGCGUGAGUGAUGAAGGCCUUCGGGUUGUAAAGCUCUUUUACCCGGGAAGAUAAUGACUGUACCGGGAGAAUAAGCUCCGGCUAACUUCGUGCCAGCAGCCGCGGUAAUACGAAGGGGGCUAGCGUUGUUCGGAAUUACUGGGCGUAAAGCGCGCGCAGGCGGUUUCUCAAGUCAGUGGUGAAAGCCCGGAGCUCAACUCCGGAACUGCCAUUGAAACUGUGAGACUUGAGGACGAGAGAGGUGAGUGGAAUUCCCAGUGUAGAGGUGAAAUUCGUAGAUAUUGGGAAGAACACCGGUGGCGAAGGCGGCUCACUGGCUCGUUUCUGACGCUCAGGCGCGACAGCGUGGGGAUCAAACAGGAUUAGAUACCCUAGUAGUCC
rnacentral:rRNA from 1 species